rnacentral:lncRNA from 1 species
CACUCAGACGUGCAUAAAGAUCGAUCUUUACCAGCCAUUGAGACUGGGGUGCUAAUCAAGGGACCAAAGGGCCCCUUUUGGCAAAGAUUUGUCUAGGAGAACCUCAACGACGUAUGUCUCCAAUGUAGGUGCUUCCAUCUUCCAGAGUAGGCGUGCCCAGCCAGAGGGGUUGGAGGAGGCUUGGUAGUCGGUCGGUGCUUGGAGUAACAUUGUCCGAGUAGGAGGGGAGGAGAUGGGAGCAGUGGAUGGAGGGUCAUGCCUAGGAUCAUGGUUGGUGGCCGUCUGACAAUGGUUGCCCAGGUCGGAGGUGCUGGCUGGAUUGGAGAAGAAGAAAGCC